GUCAGUUUGGCCGAGCGGUCAAGGGCGCUUGCUUCAGGCGCUAGCCCGAAAGGGCGAGAGUUCGAAUGCUGCAGCUGAUA